rnacentral:rRNA from 1 species
GACGAACGCUGGCGGCGUGCUUAACACAUGCAAGUCGAACGGAAAGGCCCUGCUUUUGUGGGGUGCUCGAGUGGCGAACGGGUGAGUAACACGUGAGUAACCUGCCCUUGACUUUGGGAUAACUUCAGGAAACUGGGGCUAAUACCGGAUAGGAGCUCCUGCUGCAUGGUGGGGGUUGGAAAGUUUCGGCGGUUGGGGAUGGACUCGCGGCUUAUCAGCUUGUUGGUGGGGUAGUGGCUUACCAAGGCUUUGACGGGUAGCCGGCAUGAGAGGGUGACCGGCGACAUUGGGACUGAGAUACGGACCAGACUCCUACGGGAGGCAGCAGUGGGGAAUAUUGCACAAUGGGCGGAAGCCUGAUGCAGAAACGCCGCGUGCGGGAUGACGGCCUUCGGGUUGUAAACCGCUUUCGCCUGUGACGAAGAGUGAGUGACGGUAAUGGGUAAAGAAGCACCGGCUAACUACGUG